UAAUAAAGGAAAAGACCUUGCAAGGCAGAAUGGAAAGCAUUCAACUAGUGCAGUGAUUCAAACAAGAAGAUGAGGAAGGAAGAAUUCAACAGUUCAUCAAAUGUUUACUGGGCUCCUAUCAUGUUCAAGGUGCUGUUCUCACUACAGGGGACACAGAGGAGAGCAAGUGAACAGGAAUGGAGGCCAGCCUUGCAAGAGAGGAAGAUAUGUUGGAUGGUAUGAACACCUCCCCAGGCUGGGCAAUCAUAUCAGCUCUGAAAACAAUUCUUCCCCUCCUAUACGCACAUGCUGUUCUCAUCAUAAGGAAGCACUUAUUUCUCCUUCUCUUGAAUCUGGACUGCCUUAUGACUGACUUUGACCAUAAGUGACAUUCUGGGACUUCCCAGCUCAGGUCUUAAGAGGCCUAGCAUUUCCAUUUCCUUCCUCUUAGCCUACUCGCUAUUGAGGUGCUCCCUCUUAGAGCCUAGCUUCCUUGAUGGGAGAAGCCCAGCCCCCCAGGAAGAGAAUGGAGCUGCUGCAAACAGCUCUAGCUGAGCUCCUAGCUGCCAGCUAUUGGGCAAGCCAUCUUGAAUGCUCCAGCCCAAUUAAGCCUCCAGAUUUCCUUAGCCACCACCACAUGCAGCAGAAAAGAAGCUCUUGGUGGAACA
rnacentral:lncRNA from 1 species